AGACUGGGACCAUAGGCUCCCCUGGUCCUUAGGCCUUCAGACUUGGACUGAACGACACCACUGACUUUCCCAGGUCUCCAGCUUGCAGAUGGCAGGAAGAGGUUCUUCCCAGCCUCCACAGUCAUGCCUGCCCAGCUGCUUUAGUGAUUCCGGGUCAGAGUCUUGCAAUCAGAAGCAACUCCCACCCUCAGCCCUCAAAAUGGGCCAUCUCAAAUCUUACUAGCCAAUGGCACUCCAAGGAGAGGGAGGAGCAGUGUCCCUGUAAGCUCCUUCCAGCCUUUAUCAUCCUUUGACUUGUCCCUAAAAUAUCCUAUUCCCCAAAGAUGGCAAGAGCGCCUCCCGAGAAGGAGGAGCAAGGGCAUCUCCAUGGAGCCCCGCUCUCUGAGCUCUGACUGAGGGUGGGGGAAGGAGAGAACUCUGGGUCUGGCUCACGGGGUGCCAUGUGUCAGGCAGCAGGUCCUUGUGAAGUCUCCAGAGAUGUGAGGAGUUGGUCGUAACAGCCCAGGGAAGGAGAGGUAGACGUGGCAAACGGGAGAGACAGGUCCCCAAAGGCUUUGCCGACUUCUUGCCAGCCUUGAUCCACCAGAGCUAUAAUGGCCUUUCCUACUAUUUCAGAAAAACCCAAAACUUUCCCCACAGAGUUCAAAAUGGGAUUGGCAAGGAGCUGAAUACCAUAUUGGUUUUCUGAGAUGAGCACAGUCAGCACACUAGCUCCGAGUCAGAAAGGGCAAGAGAGGAGGGCGAGACAAUUCUCUAAGUGAUGGGAACCUUCCCUGUCUGGGAGUUUGGCUCAGCUGUGAGCUGGGUUAAUGUGGCUGCAGAAGGGAAGCAUGGUUCAUGUCCAGCCAGCAGGGACACUGUCCCAGAGCUGCGCUCAGCCCUCAUAGACUGGCUCCAUUUACCUCUCACGCAGCACCCCAUGAGCUGAGGGCGGUUCUGUGGCCAUGUUACACAUAAGGAAAUAGGAUGCAGAGCUGAUGACUUGCCCAAGAUCACACUACUGGGGAGUGGUGGAAUUAGAAUUUGAACCCAGAUUGCCUAGCCCAUUAGCCUAACCACUAAUCAAAGCAGCAGCUCAACUGUAGCCGAGUCAUUAGGAAUCUCCCAGCUUAUGGCUGAGAAAGCAAGAAAAAUGAAUCUUUACCAUGCAGGGCCGGAGUCAAAGUGCACGUCAUUCAGUGCACGUUUCUUCUGAAGAAUAUUUCUUAUGGAAAUGCAUUCUGCGGGGUCACAAUGGCUCAUGCCUGUAAUCCCAGCACUUUGGGAGGCUGAGGUGGGCGGAUCGCUUGAGCCCAGAAGUUUGAGACCAGCCUGGGCAAAUUAAGGAGACCUUGUCUCUACAA
rnacentral:lncRNA from 10 species